UAAUAAGUGUUUUAUGGCACUUUUUAAAUCCAGUAUCCACCUUGUGUGCAAUGUCAGUCGAUCUUCUUCAUGGAGAUCGACCAAACAUCAACCUUUAUCUUUUAACUCUUUGUCUGAAAAAUAUUAUGAAUAAACAAUUCAAAAUA
rnacentral:misc_RNA from 1 species